UAUGUUGCACAAAGUGUGGUAAUCAUACGAAGAAGGUUUCUAUUCCGACCUCCGAACAUUACUCGGGGAAAUUACUGUACAUUGUCAAUCCGAGUAGACGCGAAAAAUAACGUGCGAAUGAAAUUUGCUUACCCAUUGGGUCCUCGGAAGAAUCGUACUGGCCGCCGGCAGAACCAUAACUGUCCAAUACCCCUUCUUCGUCCGGAUCGAAGUACUUCCUGUAAUCGAACAUCGUCGCGUGUUAGUGUUCCGUUAGCAUAGUCGCGGCUCGAGCGAAAGAAUUUCGCCACUGAGUUUUCGAUUAUUCAAUACCUCCCUCUGGUGCCGUCGAUCGCUCGCCGCGACAGGGAGCUCCUCCUUGGAAUUUCAUGUUCAAGACUGCCGUGAAUGUUGCACAAGACCAGCGUCACGAGACCUGAACAAAAAGGAGUGCCUCGAUGCCGUCUGCCGAAGAUAGUAAUAAGCCCGGUCUCUCUCCAAGGAUAAAUACAACUGUCUCGGUUCCAUGGUUUCAGAGGAGUCACGGAGCAAUCUGCUUUCGAACUUGAUCGAUGCCUAUGUAACUGGAUCGUGAGAGCAUUGUUUCACACGUUUCUGCUUGUUUUACAUGAUUGGGGCUGUCGCAUGAACGAUGAUAAAAUACAGUGACGUUGAAGCCCGGAA